rnacentral:lncRNA from 1 species
GCCCGCCAGUAACAAACAUGGCUCCCUGAAGCCGCUCAGGCUCAAGAGCAACAUGGAGGUCUGCACUUAAUCGCUCCUCUCCGGGGGCGGCCAUACUGAGGAGGCAUCUCUUCCGUGCAGGCAGGCUCUCCUGGGGACCUCAGAGAUUCUCUCCAGCGGCAGCAGAAAACGGGCAAUGGGUGGAUUCGGGUCCAGAUUCUGGCAGGAGGGAGUUUGGGAUCGAGAUCUGGAAAAAAGCACUAGACUGGAAGAGGACGCGAUGGAGUCGGAGCCGCUGGCGGGUACAAAAACCAGAGGCCGGGGAAGGCGCCGGUGGGAGGCAAGGCACGGAUGGACUUUACCUGCGCACGCGUCGCAGCCAUCUCCGCGCACAGUGGUGGCCACCGCGACUGGUGCUGAAGUGUCGGCGUGUGCCGGGCGCUCCGCUGGGACCCGGGUUGCUCGCCCUGAGUCUCAGCUUUCUCAUCUGUACGGUUGGGACAAGUACAGUAACCCUCGCCCGUCAAGACGGGCCAGGGCUGUGGCGAGGGUCCACGCCUUAGAGCAGGCACCUAUCUUGUGCAGGGCCCUGAGAUGGGGUCUGACUCAGUUCCUGCGGGGAACUUCACCAGUGACCCAGUCAGUGCCCUUCAGUUAAAGACCACCAGGAGCACACUUAUAUCAUGGAAAUCAGGACAGUAGCAGUUGGGAUUGUGGCAAUCAAAGGGGUGGAAAGUGAAUUCUAUCUUGCAACGAACGAGGAAGGAAAACUCUAUGCAAAGAAGGAAUGCAAUGAAGAUUGUAACUUCAAAGAUCUAAUUCUGGAAAACCAUUACAACACAUAUGCAGCAGCUAAAUGGACAAACAACGGAGGGGAAAUGUUUGUGGCCUUAAAUCAAAAGGGGAUUCCUGUAAGAGGAAAAAAAACAAAGAAAGAACAAAAAACAGCCCACUUUCUUCCUAUGGCAAUAACUUAAUUGCAUAUGGUAUAUAAAGAACCAGUUCCAGCAGGGAGAUUUCUUUAAGUGGACUGUUUUCUUUCUUCUCAAAAUUUUCUUUCCUUUUAUUUUCUAGUAAUCAAGAAAGGCUGGAAAACUACUGAAAAACUGAUCAAGCUGGACUUGCGCAUUUAUGUUUGUUUUAAGACACUGCAUUAAAGAGACAUUUGAAAAGUAUACACAAAAAUCAGAUUUAGUAACUAAAGGUUGUACAAAAUUGUAAAACUGGUUGUACAAUCAUGAUGUUAGUAAUAGUAAUUUUUUUCUUAAAUUAAUUUACCCUUAAGAGUAUGUUAGAUUUGAUUAUCUGAUAAUGAUUAUUUAAAUAUUCCUAUCUGCUUAUAAAAUGGCUGCUAUAAUAAUAAUAAUGCAGAUGAUGUUAUAUAAGGUAUAUCAGACCUACAGGCUGCUGGCAGGAUUUGUCAGAUAAUCAAGCCACACUAACUAUGGAAAAUGAGCAGCAUUUUAAAUGCUUUCUAGUGAAAAAUUAUAAUCUACUUAAACUCUAAUCAGAAAAAAAGAAUAUUCUCAAAAAAAUCUAUUAUGAAAGUCAAUAAAAUAGAUAAUUUAACAAAAGUACAGGAUUAGAACAUGCUUAUACCUAUUAACAAGAACAAAAUUUCUAAUGCUGCUCAAGUGGAAAGGGUAUUGCUAAAAGGAUGUUUCCAAAAAUCUUGUAUAUAAGAUAGCAACAGUGAUUGAUGAUAAUACUGUACUUCAUCUUACUUGCCACUAAAUAACAUUUUAUAAUUCCUCAAAGUAAAAUUGAGAAAUCUUUAAGUUUUUUUCAAGUAACAUAAUCUAUCUUUGUAUAAUUCAUAUUUGGGAAUAUGGCUUUUAAUAAUGUUCUUCCCACAAAUAAUCACGCUUUUUUCCUAUGGUUACUGCAUUAAACUCUAUAUUAAGUUGUUUUUGAACUUAUUGUUUUGUUAUUUAAGUUUAUGUUAUUUAUAAAAAAAACCUUAAUAAGCUGUAUCUGUUUCAUAUGCUUUUAAUUUUAAAGGAAUAACAAAACUGUCUGGCUCAACUGCAAGUUUCCCUCCCCUUUGUGACUGACACUAAGCUAGCACACAGCACUUGGGCCAGCAAAUCCUGGAAGGCAGACAAAAAUGAGGGCCUGAAGCAAUGCUUACAAUAGAUGUCUCACACAGAACAAUACAAACAUGUAAAAAAUCUUUCACCACAUAUUCUUGCCAAUUAAUUGGAUCAUAUAAGUAAAAUCAUUACAAAUAUAAGUAUUUACAGGAUUUUAAAGUUAGAAUAUAUUUGAAUGCAUGGGUAGAAAAGUAUCAUAUUUUAAAACUAUGUAUAUUUAAAUUUAGUAAUUUUCUAAUCUCUAGAAAUCUCUCCUGUUCAAAAGGUGGCAGCACUGAAAGUUGUUUUCCUGUUAGAUGGCAAGAGCACAAUGCCCAAAAUAGAAGAUACAGUUAGGAAUAAGGGGCCCUGAAUGUUAUGAAGGUUUGAGGUCAGCCUACAGAUAACAGGAUUAUUACAAAGAUGAAUUUCCACUUCCAAAGUCUGUCAUUGGCAGAUCUUGGUAGCACUUUAUAUGUUUACCAAUGGGAGGUCAACAUCUAUCUAAUUUAAAAGCUAUGCUAACCAUUGUGGUUUUAAUUUCAAAAUAUUUGUCAUACAAGUCCCUUUACAUAAAUAGUAUUUGGUAAUACAUUUAUAGAUGAGAGUUAUAUGAAAAGGCUAGGUCACCAAAACAAUAGAUUCAUUUAAUUUUCCUGUGGUUGACCUAUACGACCAGGAUGUAGAAAACUAGAAAGAACUGCCCUUCCUCAGAUAUACUCUUGGGAGAGAGCACGAAUGGUAUUCUGAACUAUCACCUGAUUCAAGGACUUUGCUAGCUAGGUUUUGAGGUCAGGCUUCAGUAACUGUAGUCUUGUGAGCAUAUUGAGGGCAGAGGAGGACUUAGUUUUUCGUAUGUGUUUCCUUAGUGCCUAGCAGACUAUCUGUUCAUAAUCAGUUUUCAGUGUGAAUUCAUUGAAUGUUUAUAGACAAAAGAAAAUACAUAAUAAAACUAAUCUUCAUUUUAAAAGGGUAAAACAUGACUACACAGAAAUUUAAAUAGAAAUAGUGUAUAUACAUAUAAAAUACAAGCUAUGUUAGGACCAAAUCUCUUUGUCUAUGGAGUUAUACUUCCAUCAAAUUACAUAGCAAUGCUGAAUUAGGCAAAACCAAUAUUUAGUGGUAAAUCCAUUCCUGGUAGUAUAAGUCACCUAAAAAAGAUUUCUAGAAAUAUGUACUUUAAUUAUUUGUUUUUCUCCUAUUUUUAAAUUUAUUAUGCAAAUUUUAGAAAAUAAAAUUUGCUCUAGUUACACACACUUAGAAUUCUAGAAUCUUAAAACUGUAAGGGGCCUCCAUCCCUUUUACUCAUUUGUAGUCUAGGAAAUCAAGAUUUUGAUACACCUCAGGUCAUGCAGCUGGGUAGAUAUACAACUGUCACAAGAGUCUAGAUCAGUUGGCACAUGCUUUCUAUACUAGAUUAUUAGUAUUAUUAGCUAAUGGUCUUCUGCAUUUUUUGGUUUUUGAUUUGUAUUGAGAUAUAGCCUUUACAUUUCUACACAAAUGUGACUAUGUAUUGGCAAUGCACUUCAUACACAAUGACUAAUCUAUACUGUGAUGAUUUGACUCAAAAGGAGAAAAGAAAUUACGUAGUUUUCAAUUCUGAUUCCUAUUCACCUUUUGUUUAUGAAUGGAAAGCUUUGUGCAAAAUAUACAUAUAAGCAGAGUAAGCCUUUUAAAAAAUUUUCUUUGAAAGAUAAAAUACAUGAGUUUCUAACAAUUAGAAAGGAAAAAAUUAAAAUAUGAAAUAACAAAAGUAAACAAAAGAUACUUUCAAAGCAGUGAACAAAACAUUUUGACAUAAGCCGUAAUAUAAAUUAUAAUAUAAAAACAUAAAAACCAUAGUAUAAAUUGUCAGUCUUUGAGUUGGCCACAAAUUCAAUUUAAUGAAAGAAGAGAAGGGAUGCUGGAGGUAAAUAAAUUCUUAGAGUUUCUAUCUCAUAGAGUUUGCUCUUCUGGUUCUCUAGACUGCCAAAGAACAUAAAGAUGUACAAGGGGACCUAGCUGUAGUAAAAGCAUACCUAUAACAACAAAAACUCUAAAACGGUGCCCCUCACGAUUUUCUACUGAAAUUUCUCUAAUAGUAGAGGUAUAAAAUAAGAAGUUAGAGAAUAAUACAAAAGGGGCCCACCAUAGAAAGCACAUUUCUUUUCUCUUAAGACUCAUGUGAUUUUUGCAUCUUACUCCAUAAUGUAUUAGUGGUUGCAUUAAUAUGACAAUGUCUGCAAUUAAACACCAGUAAGCAAAAUUGAUACAUCAGAAUGACUUGCAGGGCUUAUCACGCAGUUUCAUUUACAUCCCUACCCCACUGCCAUUUACUUGAGCGUGAAUGACACACGAGAGAUUCUUUGCCUUCCAUAAUCCAACUUUACACAUAAAUAACACAAGGCUAAAGAAAACCAGAACUCAAAUUCACCAUGCAUAGGAGUGAUAACAAAAAUAUUUAACAGUCAGUAUGGGUGAUCACUGGCCAAUCAAAAUACAUCACUGAUAUAUCAAAAUGGAUGCAGGCCACUGUGACUAACUUGUGGAUAUCAUUUCUAUGAUCACCCUAAAACAGAGUUGGGAAAAUAUCAAUUAACUGGACUCUCUGGUUUGAAUUCUCAAUAUGUAUCUUAAUAUGAAAUAGCUCAUUAAAACUUCAUGUGUAACUAUUUCA